rnacentral:lncRNA from 1 species
CUUCUCUUCCUUUCCUCAUUCUCUUCUUCGUGAUUUGAGCCAUGGAGGGAGUAUGUGCCUCACUGUAGCUCCCAGCUUCAGACGUGUCUGAAGCUACAUUGCUGUAUACCUACUAAAGAAUAUUUUGCCUGCAUUUUCUAUUCUUGCAGCAUAGGACAAUGUGUGACUGAGACCUUAAAUCCAAGAAUAAAGACCUCUCAACACCACUGGUAGAUAUUCCAGAAAAACAAAACCCGAAACAGUGUGAAAAGAAAGAUUUGAAGACAUUUAACAAUUCCCUGGAUUCUGUGCCACAGUUCCACGAAUAUCAUAAUCUUAGAAGCAGCCUUCAUGAACUUGCCAAGAGGUGGCAUUCACAGAAUUGCUCUACAACCUUCCCAGCUGCCUGUGGUUCCUCAUCUGAACUCGCUCCCACACACUAAGAGACAUCAGAGAAGUGAACCUGGCUAAAAUCAGUGCAGUUGCUGAUUUAGUGUUGUAUUCAAUGUAGUAGUACUUCUACAAGGUGUAUUUUUGAACCCACAUACAUGUCCACCACAUAUCCAGCAUACACUAGUGAGAGGAAUGGAA